rnacentral:rRNA from 1 species
UACAGAGGUCUCAAGCGUUGUUCGGAUUCAUUGGGCGUAAAGGGUGCGUAGGCGGCGCGGUAAGUCGGGUGUGAAAUCUCGGAGCUUAACUCCGAAACUGCAUUCGAUACUGCCGUGCUUGAGGACUGGAGAGGAGACUGGAAUUUACGGUGUAGCGGUGAAAUGCGUAGAUAUCGUAAGGAAGACCAGUGGCGAAGGCGGGUCUCUGGACAGUUCCUGACACUGGAGGCACGAAAGCUAGGGGAGCAAACAGG